GUUAAACUGAUGGUGAUUUGUGGUGGGCUUCUGGAUAGCUUGAAGGUGGGAGUUGGUCAGCAGAAAGACCAACCAUAUGAUUACAGUGUCACACUUUGUGCCAGCCUGAAUCAGCAGAGGGAAGGACUCGAGACUGAACUCACCCAAUGGGCAGGGAUUCAGUUGACUUUGUCAGUGUAGUGAAACCCCAGUAAAUACCCUGGGUACUGUCAUUGGAGCUUCCUGGUUGGUGAGUACAUUGAUGUGAUAUUCCUACAUUCCACUAGGAGUCUGCACAGAAGCUCUGCAUUCCCCACACAGCCACCCUGUUUCUCUCCCCUUGUGGCUGUUCUUCAUCUGUAAUUAGGAGGUGUUAGCCGCAAAGAUCACUUUGGAAAGUCAGUUGCUUUUCAAAAUGCAUUUAAGUCUAAAAGCUCAAGUAAUGAGAUCAGAUCCUCAAAUCCCUAUGUCUGGAGUCAAGUUGCAGGACUCCUAAGGGAAUUUCUUCUUGGUGGGUGUUGGAUACCAAGUCUCUGGCAUGAGAUCAAAGAGAACUUGAGAAGACUUUGGCUGUUCUCCAGAAUGUAAAUAGAAGGUAGAACAAGUCCCAUUGUGGCAACGUGAAAUACUCCCAUGGGUGAGAGCUGCAGCACUGUCUCUUUGAAAUAUGGCUAAGGAUGGAUUUGGAGAACAUUUCUUCUGCUAUCACUGAUAAAUGUUUGCUCUCAAUGUAGAAGGAAAUGCAGAUAAGAAAGUCUCAUGGUUUUGAAGUACUGGGAAUCUGACUGACCUACCUGAAA